CCUACGGGAGGCAGCAGUGGGGAAUAUUGGACAAUGGGGGCAACCCUGAUCCAGCGACGCCGCGUGUGUGAAGAAGGCCUGCGGGUUGUAAAGCACUUUUAGUGGGGAUGAAAAGCACAUCGAUAACACCGGUGUGUCUUGACCUAACCCACAGAAAAAGCACCGGCUAACUCUGUGCCAGCAGCCGCGGUAAUACAGAGGGUGCAAGCGUUAAUCGGAAUUACUGGGCGUAAAGCGUGCGUAGACGGUUAUUUAAGUCGGGUGUGAAAUCCCCGGGCUCAACCUGGGAAUUGCAUUCGAGACUGAAUAGCUAGGGUGCGGAAGAGGGAAGCGGAAUUUCCGGUGUAGCGGUGAAAUGCGUAGAUAUCGGAAGGAACACCAGUGGCGAAAGCGGCUUCCUGGUCCAGCACCGACGUUCAGGCACGAAAGCGUGGGGAGCA
rnacentral:rRNA from 1 species